rnacentral:lncRNA from 1 species
AAUGUUUAGGGUUGAUGGGUGGUGUGGCUAGGGGUGAUUUUUGGCUGAAUUUGGAGAGAAUGGUGGUGGAGAGGUGUGGCUAAGGCAAGGAUAAAAUCUGUUCUUCCAUUGAUGAAUAUGGAAGGUGGUAUUUAUAGGCUUGAGAGAGGACCACUCCAUAUCCUUUGCAUGUGCAGCUUGUGUGGGUGUGUGUUGGCAUGUUUCCUCUUUACAUUUACACACACAUGCUUCAUC